rnacentral:rRNA from 1 species
GGCCACAGUCUUAUAACCCCACAGCCCAAGACCAGUUUCUCACUGAAGUUAAGCAGGGCUGAGCCUGGUCAGUACCUGGAUGGGAGACCACAUGCUGUUGGAAGUGGUGUUAGUGAGGCCA